GAUGAACGCUGGCGGCGUGCUUAACACAUGCAAGUCGAACGGAAAGGCCCAAGCUUGCUUGGGUACUCGAGUGGCGAACGGGUGAGUAACACGUGGGUGAUCUGCCCUGCACUUCGGGAUAAGCCUGGGAAACUGGGUCUAAUACCGGAUAGGACGAUGGUUUGGAUGCCAUUGUGGAAAGUUUUUUCGGUGUGGGAUGAGCUCGCGGCCUAUCAGCUUGUUGGUGGGGUAAUGGCCUACCAAGGCGUCGACGGGUAGCCGGCCUGAGAGGGUGUACGGCCACAUUGGGACUGAGAUACGGCCCAGACUCCUACGGGAGGCAGCAGUGGGGAAUAUUGCACAAUGGGCGCACGCCUGAUGCAGCGACGCCGCGUGGGGGAUGACGGCCUUCGGGUUGUAAACUCCUUUCGCUAGGGACGAAGCGUUUUUGUGACGGUACCUGGAGAAGAAGCACCGGCUAACUACGUG
rnacentral:rRNA from 1 species